rnacentral:rRNA from 1 species
GAUUUCUGGCGAACCGUUGCGGCCCGUGCUCGUUUCGGGCGUGUGUGCCGUGUCGUGUUUGUCAUCCUUCCAGAAAGCUGCGUCUACCAUUCACUUGGCCGGACGUACGCGAUCUGGAUCGAUUACUUUGAAAAAAUUAGAGUGUUUAAAGCAGGCUUAUGCUGUGAAUACAUUAGCAUGGAAUAAUAAUUUAGGACUUCGGUUCUAUUUUGUUGGUUUCUAGGACUGAAGUAAUGAUUGAUAGGGACAGUUGGGGGUGCUAGUAUUCCGCGGCCAGAGGUGAAAUUCUUGGAUUCGCGGAAGACUAACUACUGCGAAAGCAUU